UUCAUUCAUUUUAAUUCGGUCUAUUCCUUGUUUGAGUCAUUUUCAUUGAGAAAUCGUAUCCUGUUUUGUCACAGUCAUGUGUAAUCGUUUUUUUUUUGUUAUAAACUCUGGUUUUAAAAUCGUGUUACUAUUGCCUCUGGAAAUCUGAGUGAAUAAACAUUUUCUGCACAAUCAUAUGAGCUAUGACAAUCUUUAUGAAGAGCUCAAGUGCAUGAUUGGUGUCAAUCAUUUCAGAAUCAGUGCAGAGUUGUGUUGGUUGCAGUUGCAUUGAUCUGUUUGAACUGUUACAGUCACUAUUUCAUUGGUUGGAUUUGGUCUGAAUUGNUGAUUUGAAUGUCUGGAAAUGCUUAAUUCAAGCUAAUACAGGAUGAAUACCAUAUAAGCAUUAGAUUGCCUUUGCAAUUGGCUUGGUAGUAUCACUGGAAAGUUCAAAUAUGCACCAAUUCUGCAGUUGACCGAUGUGCAUUGUAUUGUUUGAGUCCAGUUUUUGUUUUUCUUAAUUUGGUUUAGCAUUAGAUCAUUGCUGGACAUCUUCCAUUAAUUUCAUAGUGUUUGU
rnacentral:lncRNA from 1 species